CAGCCGCCGCGGGAAUACGAAGGGUGCAAGCGUUAAUCGGAAUUACUGGGCGUAAAGCGUGCGUAGGCGGUUUGUUAAGUCUGUUGUGAAAUCCCCGGGCUCAGCCUGGGAAUGGCAAUGGAUACUGGCAAGCUAGAGUGUGUCAGAGGAUGGUGGAAUUCCCGGUGUAGCGGUGAAAUGCGUAGAGAUCGGGAGGAACACCGAUGGCGAAGGCAGCCCCCUGGGCCAAUACUGACGCUCAUGCACGAAAGCGUGGGGAGCAAACAGGAUUAGAUACCCCUGUAGUCCCUGUCUCUUAUAC
rnacentral:rRNA from 1 species